rnacentral:rRNA from 1 species
UACAGGGGGGGCGAGCGUUAUUUAACACAAUUGGGCGUAAAGGGUACGUAGGUUGUUGCAUAAGUUCUCUCCUAAAGACUGAGGGAUUAACUCCCACAGGGAUUGAGAGAACACGUGGUCGGACUAUAGAGUAAUUUAGGUCGUUGUUGGAAUUUUCGGAAGAGGGCUAAAAUGCGAAAAAACCUUAAGGAACACUGCAAGUGAAAGUGUAUGACGCCAUCUUACUGACGCUUAGGUACGAAGGCAUUGG